AGAGUUUGAUCAUGGCUCAGAUUGAACGCUGGCGGCAUGCCUUACACAUGCAAGUCGAGCGGCAGCGCGGGGGCAACCCUGGCGGCGAGCGGCGCACGGGUGAGUAAUGCAUCGGAACGUGUCCUCUUGUGGGGGAUAACCAGUCGAAAGACUGGCUAAUACCGCAUGAGAUCGAGAGAUGAAAGCAGGGGACCCGCAAGGGCCUUGCGCGAGAGGAGCGGCCGAUGCCCGAUUAGCUAGUUGGUGGGGUAAAAGCCCACCAAGGCGACGAUCGGUAGCUGGUUUGAGAGAACGACCAGCCACACUGGGACUGAGACACGGCCCAGACUCCUACGGGAGGCAGCAGUGGGGAAUUUUGGACAAUGGGGGCAACCCUGAUCCAGCCAUGCCGCGUGUGUGAAGAAGGCCUUCGGGUUGUAAAGCACUUUCGGCCGGAACGAAAUCGCGCGGGUGAAUAUCCCGCGUGGAUGACGGUACCGGAAGAAGAAGCACCGGCUAACUACGUGCCAGCAGCCGCGGUAAUUC
rnacentral:rRNA from 1 species